UAUAAUCCGGAACCUGCAGGUGUCCGCGGCUUGAGCGCCGCGGAUGAAACGGGAAGCCGGUGCAAAACCGGCGCUGCCCCCGCAACGGUAAGGCCUGGCGUGCAGGAAGCGGUGCAAGCGAGUCGCGAUUGACUGGCGAGCCCUUGAACCUGAACGCCCAGGCGAUGCAACGGCCACUGUCCAUCGGAUGGGAAGGCGCAUCGCCGCAAGGCCCAGCCCGGAGACCGGCCUGCUGGCAUGCGCGAUC
rnacentral:ncRNA from 2 species